UAGCGUGGGAGGAUAUUAACAUCAUAUCAUCUAUUAGUGUCGCAAUUAAAAUUUUAGGAUAUUAACCUGUUACACUAACUGGAGCUA
rnacentral:sRNA from 1 species